rnacentral:rRNA from 1 species
GACGAACGCUGGCGGCGUGCUUAACACAUGCAAGUCGAACGAUGAUGCCCUGCUUGCAGGGUGGAUUAGUGGCGAACGGGUGAGUAACACGUGGGUGAUCUGCCUCGUACUUCGGGAUAAGCCUGGGAAACUGGGUCUAAUACCGGAUAGGACCUUCCUUUAGUGUGGAAGGUGGAAAGUUUUUUCGGUACGAGAUGAGCCCGCGGCCUAUCAGCUUGUUGGUGGGGUAAUGGCCUACCAAGGCGACGACGGGUAGCCGGCCUGAGAGGGUGUACGGCCACGUUGGGACUGAGACACGGCCCAAACUCCUACGGGAGGCAGCAGUGGGGAAUCUUGCACAAUGGGCGAAAGCCUGAUGCAGCGACGCCGCGUGGGGGAUGACGGCCUUCGGGUUGUAAACCCCUUUCGCUAGGGAAGAAGCCACUUUGUGGUGACGGUACCUGGAUAAGAAGCACCGGCUAACUACGUGCCAGCCGCCGCAGUAA